AACGAACGCUGGCGGCAGGCCUAACACAUGCAAGUCGAACGCCCCGCAAGGGGAGUGGCAGACGGGUGAGUAACACGUGGGAACCUUCCCUGUAGUACGGAAUAGCCCAGGGAAACUUGGAGUAAUACCGUAUCCGCCCGAAAGGGGAAAGAAUUUCGCUAUAGGAUGGGCCCGCGGAGGAUUAGCUAGUUGGUGAGGUAAUGGCUCACCAAGGCGACGAUCCUUAGCGGGUUUGAGAGAACGACCAGCCACACUGGGACUGAGACACGGCCCAGACUCCUACGGGAGGCAGCAGUGGGGAAUAUUGGACAAUGGGCGCAAGCCUGAUCCAGCCAUGCCGCGUGAGUGAUGAAGGCCUUAGGGUUGUAAAGCUCUUUUGGCGGGGACGAUAAUGACGGUACCCGCAGAAUAAGUCCCGGCUAACUUCGUGCCAGCAGCCGCGGUAACAC
rnacentral:rRNA from 1 species